UUGCCGAUCACUUGAGCACACCC
rnacentral:miRNA from 1 species